UACGUAGGGGGCAAGCGUUGUCCGGAUUUAUUGGGCGUAAAGCGCUCGCAGGUGGUCCGCUGCGUCGUGCGUGAAAGACCCCGGCUCAACUGGGGGAUGUCGUGCGAUACGGGCGGACUGGAGGCCAGUAGGGGGAUGCGGAAUUCCGGGUGUAGUGGUGGAAUACGUAGAUAUCCGGAGGAACACCAGCGGCGAAGGCGGCUUUCUGGUCCGAUUCUGACGCUGAGACGCGAAAGCGUGGGGAGCGAACAGG
rnacentral:rRNA from 1 species